rnacentral:rRNA from 1 species
GACGAACGCUGGCGGCGUGCCUAAUACAUGCAAGUCGAGCGAAGUUUUUCUGGUGCUUGCACCGGAAAAACUUAGCGGCGAACGGGUGAGUAACACGUAAAGAACCUGCCUCAUAGACUGGGACAACUAUUGGAAACGAUAGCUAAUACCGGAUAAUAGCAUUAACUGCAUGGUUGAUGUUUAAAAGUUGGUUUUGCUAACACUAUGAGAUGGCUUUGCGGUGCAUUAGCUAGUUGGUGGGGUAAAGGCCUACCAAGGCGACGAUGCAUAGCCGACCUGAGAGGGUGAUCGGCCACACUGGGACUGAGACACGGCCCAGACUCCUACGGGAGGCAGCAGUAGGGAAUCUUCCGCAAUGGGCGAAAGCCUGACGGAGCAACGCCGCGUGAGUGAAGAAGGAUUUCGGUUCGUAAAGCUCUGUUGUUAGGGAAGAAUGAUUGUGUAGUAACUAUACACAGUAGAGACGGGACCUAACCAGAAAGCCACGGCGAACUACGU